rnacentral:rRNA from 1 species
GAUGAACGCUGGCGGCGUGCCUAAUACAUGCAAGUCGAACGGGGAUGCAGCAAUGUAUCCUAGUGGCGACCGGGUGCGUAACACGUAGCUGACCUACCCCGGCGCGGGGGACAACAGUGCGAAAGCGCUGCUAAUACCGCAUAACCCAGCGGGCGUUAAAGAACCGCUGGGAAACUUCCGGGGCGCUGGGUGGGGGCUGCGGCCCAUCAGGUAGUUGGUAGGGUAGUGGCCUACCAAGCCGACGACGGGUAGGGGGCCUGAGAGGGUGGUCCCCCACACUGGGACUGACAGACGGCCCAGACUCCUACGGGAGGCAGCAGUAAGGGAUAUUGCGCAAUGGGCGAAAGCCUGACGCAGCAACGCCGCGUGGAGGAUGACGGCCUUCGGGUUGUAAACUCCUUUGGACGCAGACGAGCAAGGACGGUAUGCGUCAAACAAGUCACGGCUAACUACGUGC